rnacentral:rRNA from 1 species
GACGAACGCUGGCGGUAUGCCUAAUACAUGCAAGUCGAACGCUGAAGCACUCUGCUUGCAGAGUGUGGAUGAGUGGCGAACGGGUGAGUAACACGUGGGGAACCUGCCCAUAAGAGGGGGAUAGCAUCCGGAAACGGGUGCUAAUACCGCAUAGGUGAUCAUAGCGCAUGCUUAGAUCAUUAAAGAUGGCUUCGGCUAUCGCUUAUGGAUGGCCCCGCGGCGUAUUAGCUAGUUGGUGAGGUAAUGGCUCACCAAGGCUGUGAUACGUAGCCGACCUGGGAGGGUGAUCGGCCACACUGGAACUGAGACACGGUCCAGACUCCUACGGGAGGCAGCAGUAGGGAAUCUUCCACAAUGGGCGAAAGCCUGAUGGAGCAAUACCGCGUGAGUGAAGAAGGUCUUCAGAUCGUAAAGCUCUGUUGUUAGAGAAGAACAAGAGGUGUGGUAACUGGCACCUCCUUGACGGUAUCUAACCAGAAAGUCACGGCUAACUACGUGCCAGCAGCCGCCGUAA